rnacentral:rRNA from 1 species
GCCUUGAAAUCGGAGUGCUUGCACUCUGUGAAAAAGAUACAGGCUAGCGGCGGACGGGUGAGUAACACGUGGGUAACCUGCCCAAGAGAUCGGGAUAACACCUGGAAACAGAUGCUAAUACCGGAUAACAACAGAUGAUGCCUAUCAACUGUUUAAAAGAUGGUUCUGCUAUCACUCUUGGAUGGACCUGCGGUGCAUUAGCUAGUUGGUAGGGUAACGGCCUACCAAGGCGAUGAUGCAUAGCCGAGUUGAGAGACUGAUCGGCCACAUUGGGACUGAGACACGGCCCAAACUCCUACGGGAGGCAGCAGUAGGGAAUCUUCCACAAUGGACGCAAGUCUGAUGGAGCAACGCCGCGUGAGUGAAGAAGGGUUUCGGCUCGUAAAGCUCUGUUGUUGGUGAAGAAGGACGGGGGUAGUAACUGGCCUUUGUUUGACGGUAAUCAAUUAGAAAGUCACGGCUAACUACGUGCCAGCAGCCGCGGUAAUACGUAGGUGGCAAGCGUUGUCCGGAUUUAUUGGGCGUAAAGCGAGUGCAGGCGGUUCGAUAAGUCUGAUGUGAAAGCCUUCGGCUCAACCGGAGAAUUGCAUCAGAAACUGUCGAGCUUGAGUACAGAAGAGGAGAGUGGAACUCCAUGUGUAGCGGUGAAAUGCGUAGAUAUAUGGAAGAACACCGGUGGCGAAGGCGGCUCUCUGGUCUGUUACUGA